GUGGGGAAUUUUGGACAAUGGGCGCAAGCCUGAUCCAGCAAUGCCGCGUGCAGGAAGAAGGCCUUCGGGUUGUAAACUGCUUUUGUACGGAACGAAAAGGCUCUGGUUAAUACCUGGGGCUCAUGACGGUACCGUAAGAAUAAGCACCGGCUAACUACGUGCCAGCAGCCGCGGUAAUACGUAGGGUGCAAGCGUUAAUCGGAAUUACUGGGCGUAAAGCGUGCGCAGGCGGUUUUGUAAGACAGAGGUGAAAUCCCCGGGCUCAACCUGGGAAUUGCCUUUGUGACUGCAAGGCUGGAGUGCGGCAGAGGGGGGUGGAAUUCCGCGUGUAGCAGUGAAAUGCGUAGAUAUGCGGAGGAACACCGAUGGCGAAGGCAAUCCCCUGGGCCUGCACUGACGCUCAUGCACGAAAGCGUGGGGAGCAAACAGGAUUAGAAACCCUUGUAGUACC
rnacentral:rRNA from 1 species